GGUCAAGCGAAGAAGGGCGCGGGGCGGAUGCCUUGGCGCUGGGGGCCGAAGAAAGACGCGGCAAGCUGCGAAAAGCCACGGGGAGCGGCAGACACGCGAUAAUCCGUGGGUGUCUGAAUGGGGGAACCCGCACAGGAACACCCUGUGCGCCUGCAUGUAAAAAAGGGCAGCCUUAUAGGAUGCAGGCGGGAACCCGGUGAACUGAAACAUCUAAGUAGCCGGAGGAAAAGAAAGAAACAUCGAUUCCCCAAGUAGCGGCGAGCGAACGGGGAGGAGCCCAAACCGGUGUGCGUGCACACCGGGGUACGGGCUGCCACAGCAUACCAUAAAGCCUAACAGAACGGUACUGGAAAGACCGGCCGGAGAGGGUGAGAGCCCCGUAGGUGAAAGGCGGAAUGGAUGAGGCAGUACCAGAGUACCACGGGACACGUGAAAUCCUGUGGGAAGGAGCGGGGACCACCCCGCAAGGCUAAAUACCACCCAGCGACCGAUAGAGCACAGUACCGUGAGGGAAAGGUGAAAAGGACCCCGGGAGGGGAGUGAAAGAGAACCUGAAACCCCGCGUCCACAAGCUGUGGGAGCAUGAAAGAUGCGACCGUGUACUUUUUGUAGAACGGUCCGGCGAGCCACGGUGUCCGGCGAGGUUAAGCCAGUAGACUGGCGGAGCCGAAGUGAGAGCAAGCGUGAAGAGCGCACAGCCGGCGCAGCCGGCAGAAGAGUCAGGCACCGUGGGCCCGAAACCGGGUGACCUACCCGUGUCCAGGCUGAAGCCGCAGUAAAAGGCGGUGGAGGGCCGAACCCACGCCCGUUGAAAAGGGCGGGGAUGAGGUGCGGGUAGGGGAGAAAUUCCAAUCGAACCCGGAGAUAGCUGGUUCUCCCCGAAAUAGCUUUAGGGCUAGCCCCGUUUAUGCCUGCCGGAGGUAGAGCACUGAAUUUCCUAGGGGGCGUCAAAGCCUACCGAAGAAUAUCAAACUCCGAAUGCCGGAGAGGAAGAGGACGGGAGUCAGACUGCACGAGACAAGUCGGGCAGUCAAAAGGGAAAAAGCCCAGACCCGCGGCUAAGGCCCCAAAGUGCGUGUUAAGUGGGAAAGGAUGUGGGGUCUCAGGGACAGCUGGGACGUUGGCUCAGAAGCAGCCAUGCGUUAAAAGAGUGCGUAAUAGCUCACCAGCCGAGAGGCCCUGCGCCGAAAAUGUCCGGGGCUGAAACACGCCGCCGAAGCCCGGGGGCUGUACGUAAGGUAUGGCCGGUAGGGGAGCAUUGCCGGUGCGCGGAAGCCUUACCCGUAAGGGGAGGUGGAGUGCCGGGAAGAGAGAAUGCCGGAAUGAGUAGCGAGAUGGGGGUGGGAAUCCCCCAGGCCGGAUGUCCAAGGUUUCCGGGGUAAAGCUGAUCUUCCCCGGGGAAGUCGGGACCUAAGGCGAGGCCUGAGGGCGUAGCCGAUGGAUAACAGGUGGAGAAUCCUGUACUGCAUGGCAGCAGAAGAAAGCGGGGACGCGUCCCCGGAGGUUUGGCCGGGAGAGGGAAACCCGGUGCAAGCGCGGGAGGCGGCGCGGGGGAAAUACCGCGCGGGAGCCAGUAGCGUUAAGCGGAGCGAACCAAAGUAGCGAAGAAGCCGUAAGGGGCGCCAAGAAAAGCCGCUAUAGCCUGCCAUGUACCCGUACCGCAGACCGACACAGGCAGACAGGGAGAGAAUCCCAAGGCCGGCGGGAGAAGCGUUGUCAAGGAACUCGGCAAAAUGGCCCCGUAACUUCGGGAGAAGGGGCGCCUGCGCGAGCAGGCCGCAGAGAAGAGGCCCAAGCAACUGUUUAGCAAAAACACAGGUCUAUGCGAAGCCGGAAGGCGAGGUAUAUGGGCUGACGCCUGCCCGGUGCUGGAAGGUUAAGAGGAGAGGUCAGGGGAAACCCGAAGCCUUGAAUUUAAGCCCCAGUAAACGGCGGCCGUAACUAUAACGGUCCUAAGGUAGCGAAAUUCCUUGUCGGGUAAGUUCCGACCCGCACGAAAGGCGUAAUGAUUUGGGCGCUGUCUCGACAACGCACCCGGUGAAAUUGAAGUGCCAGUGAAGAUGCUGGCUACCCGCGCCAGGACGGAAAGACCCCAUGGAGCUUUACUCCAGCUUGACGCUGGGGCCCGGCGCUGUAUGUACAGGAUAGGCGGGAGGCAAUGAAGUAAGGACGCAAGCCCUUAUGGAGCCGACGUUGGGAUACCGCCCUUGCAGUGUCAGGUUUCUAACCUUCGGCAGUGAGCCUGCCGGGGGACAACGUCUGGCGGGGAGUUUGACUGGGGCGGUCGCCUCCGAAAGGGUAUCGGAGGCGCUCGAAGGUCCCCUCAGGAUGGACGGGAACCAUCCACAGAGUGCAAAGGCAGAAGGGGGCCUGACUGCGACACCGACGGGUGGGGCAGGCAGGAAACUGGGACUUAGUGAUCCGGUGGCAUUAAGUGGGAUUGCCAUCGCUCAACGGAUAAAAGCUACCCUGGGGAUAACAGGCUGAUCACCCCCAAGAGUUCACAUCGACGGGGUGGUUUGGCACCUCGAUGUCGGCUCAUCGCAUCCUGGGGCUGAAGCGGGUCCCAAGGGUUGGGCUGUUCGCCCAUUAAAGCGGUACGCGAGCUGGGUUCAGAACGUCGUGAGACAGUUCGGUCCCUAUCCGGCGCGGGCGCAGGAUGUUUGAGGGGAGCCGCCCUUAGUACGAGAGGACCGGGGCGGACGGGCCGCUGGUGUACCUGUUGGGGACCAACCCCACGGCAGGGUAGCCAAGCCCGGAGCGGAUAAACGCUGAAGGCAUCUAAGCGUGAAGCCGUCCUCAAGAUGAGACAUCCGGAGCGUAAGCUGAAGGCCCCUUGGAGAGUACGAGGUGGAUAGGCCCGGGGUGGAAGCGCUGAGAGGCGUGCAGCUGACGGGUACUAAUAGGCCGGAAGCUUGACCAAAA
rnacentral:rRNA from 1 species